CUGGUGUGACUAAUACUUUGAGCAGCUCAGAGGAUUCAGACCAUCACAAAUCAAGCUCCAGCACUGAAAACUAUACUGUAUCAAUUAAAACAAUGCUGAACACUGGAAGAAGCAAAAGAUUCCCACAGCAGCUACAAAAAAAAAAACGCCUCCUGACCUCUGAUGAACACACACUGAGGACACACACCACCAGCAGCGCAGGCUCCUUCUCCUCCCCGCCCCCAACCCCCCACACUGCUCUGAGCUUGACCAGAGUCACUGACCUGGUAACACACACACAGCCAUAUGGUACGGCCUGCACGAGACUCCAUACAGUAAUUAGGGGGAUGGUGGUGCCGCAUACUCGCCUCUGCUGAUUCUCCUCCUCUUCUCCUGAACAUCAUGAAAUGUUUUUUAUCCAAACUCACAGGUGUGUGUUUUUAGAAGGUGCGGUGGCUGGCAGGGAAGCAAAAAGCCAUCUGCAGUAUGUCGGUGCACUCACUCCUGCGCUGUCAUUGUUCUCAAGCAGGUUGAUUGUUUGUUAUGGUCUACACUGUUUGGGGAGUACACAGAGGUCUCUACAAAUAAACAAACUGUCACACACACAUAAACAAACACACACACACUGCCGUUUUCACCUUUGCCCCCGAGUGGGCUUUUGAGCCUUUAUCUCUCUCGUGCAGAAAUGUCAGUUUAGGCACAAAGCAAACGAGACUUGAAACCAGGCUGCAAAAUUAACUUUUUGUCCACUGGCCAAAUGGCUAGUGAGUGUUUUAGUGAAUUUUACCAGCCACUCAAUAGAUUACCGUUGU